rnacentral:rRNA from 1 species
GACGAACGCUGGCGGUGUGCUUAACACAUGCAAGUCGAACGGUAAGGCCCUUUCGGGGGUACACGAGUGGCGAACGGGUGAGUAACACGUGAGUAACCUGCCCUCAUCUCUGGGAUAACAGUCGGAAACGGUUGCUAAUACUGGAUAUGAGCUUGCAAGGCAUCUUGUGGGUUGGAAAGAUUUUUUUUGGUUGGGGAUGGACUCGCGGCCUAUCAGCUUGUUGGUGAGGUAGUGGCUCACCAAGGCUUCGACGGGUAGCCGGCCUGAGUGGGCGACCGGCCACAUUGGGACUGAGAUACGGCCCAAACUCCUACGGGAGGCAGCAGUGGGGAAUAUUGCACAAUGGACGGAAGUCUGAUGCAGCAACGCCGCGUGCGGGAUGACGGCCUUCGGGUUGUAAACCGCUUUCAAUUGUGACGAAGCUUUAUUGUGACGGUAGCAGUAGAAGAAGCACCGGCUAACUACGUG